ensembl:lncRNA
UGGUAGGAUAAGGAAUAUAAUAUAGAGAGGGGGAUCCAAUCCGGUUUCAGCUCGUUUCCGUACGUAGGCCUACUGAUGGAACAUUUAUGUUAGUUACAGUGUGUUCUGAAGGUACUGACUGAGUUACAUCGAACACUUUCAGAAGCCUGCACUGAAUUUUCAGUAACUGAGAAGGCUAAUUUGUUAUCUAGACAAUACAAGUAAAGCAGCCAUGCCGAAAAGAAGCAAAGCAAGUAAUGACACUGAAGUCGAGCCAAAAAGGCGAUCCACGAGGUUGUCAUCAAAACCCACUACUCCGGCUAAACCAGAGCCUAAGACAAAGACACCAGUCAAGGCAGCAGCCAAGCCCAAAAAAGUAAAGGAGGUAGUAGAGAAGGUCAAGCCUGAGGAGAAGAAAGAAGCUCCUGAGGAAAAAACAGCACCGGCAGAAAACGGAGAGACCAAAGAUGAGGAGGAGGCAGCAGAAGAGGCAGAUGCUGAUGCAGAUGAGCCUGAGAAAGAGGAGGAUGAGGCAGAAUAAUAAGCUUACACUUUUGCCAGUGCUCCCCGUACCUCCUUUCUUGUACAAUGCAGAGGAAUAUUUUUAUCAACUAUUUUCUUAAGAAAAGGCAGGUUGUGUAGUAGUAAGAUUGUAGAAACACUUAUUCUCCCCCCCCCCCCCCCCUUUUUUUUUUUUUUACACCUCUGGAAGAAAAGUUAUGGUCAUUGUGUGUUUCCCUUUUCUUUUGUAGUCUGGGGCAGUUGUCAGAGGGAGGGGGGCAGGUUUGCAGCAAUGACAUGCAAUCAUGUCAAUAUCAGGAAUUUGUUAUUCAACUGGGAGAGCUUGUCUGACACUAACAUUCCAUAGGCUUUAUGGGGGACAGUUUAUUUAACCUGUAUUGUAUGGGGAAGGGUUGGGGGGGGGGGGGGGGGGUUUAUACACAAUAAUACUUGUUUCAUUUUUGUUUAUAAUGGGUAGGAAUGUGGUGACUGUUUUAAGCUGUGCUCUAUGAAUAUUAACUGUUUUAUGAAUCUACAGUUAUGAUUCAUCAUCAUCCUCCCUAGUACAUGUACUGGAUUUUUCGUCAGGCCUGUGCAUUAUGUUAAGUGUUGUUUGACUCUGUUCGGUGAUGGCAUUGCAAUAACAUUUGAUAUAGCUGCUGUAAAACUAAGGUUUUUUUCAUAAUUUCUAUGCAGUAUGUAAUGGUACGUUGUGGGGAAUGGGGAUGGUUCAUGUGUUUUUAGCCAAGCUAGUAACAUGAAAUGCAUUACAGUGUUAAACAUACUGGUUGUAGCUUAUCCUUUUGGGGAUACUGAUAAACAUGACUGUAAUUUCACUUAAUCUUUCAAGUGAACAUAGCAGCUGUAGCAAGAUUUACAUGUGGUUUUAGGAUUUUAUGUACAGUAUUUCUCCUUUUUUUGUAGCUGUAUCUGUGUUAUGAUUGAUAUAAGCGUGUCAAUUUAAUUAAAUGGUUGUAAUUUCUCUGUUCUCUGUUCUCUUAUUGAUCACAAGUGAAAUAAAACCUGUAUACGUGUGAUAUUCUAAUUCAGACACUUACUAUGUAUGCAUUGACUAAAUACUCUGUAAUAUCUCUUAUACCAUAUUGAUUGAAAAUGUGUGAUUGUUUUUUGGUGCUUGCCAAAUAUUGAGCAUAUGUCUAAUUCUAUUAGGCCAGUGUAGCCAUACACCACCUCAGGCUAUUUGACAAGUAGCUGCAUGACGAUCACAAUAUUUCAGGGAUUGUCAAUUUGUGGCCCGAAUUAGUCCCGUUAUUGAUUUUAUCCCCGCCCCCAAGUUUUUGGAAUAAAUUCUCAUAGCCUACAAUGAUCCGUUGGGCUUUUUGUGUAAAUUUGCAGAGUGCACAUUAUUUAUGUUCCGGUCCCCAUCAUCCGCUCAGGAAAAAAAAAUUGUCCAAAAAAUGAGCUGAAUCUAGUUAAUGUCCCAUUAACUAUUUCAACCAAUUAGCU